AGAGUUUGAUCAUGGCUCAGAUUGAACGCUGGCGGCAGGCUUAACACAUGCAAGUCGAGCGGGGGAAGGUAGCUUGCUACCGGACCUAGCGGCGGACGGGUGAGUAAUGCUUAGGAAUCUGCCUAUUAGUGGGGGACAACAUCUCGAAAGGGAUGCUAAUACCGCAUACGUCCUACGGGAGAAAGCAGGGGAUCUUCGGACCUUGCGCUAAUAGAUGAGCCUAAGUCGGAUUAGCUAGUUGGUGGGGUAAAGGCCUACCAAGGCGACGAUCUGUAGCGGGUCUGAGAGGAUGAUCCGCCACACUGGGACUGAGACACGGACCAGACUCCUACGGGAGGCAGCAGUGGGGAAUAUUGGACAAUGGGGGGAACCCUGAUCCAGCCAUGCCGCGUGUGUGAAGAAGGCCUUAUGGUUGUAAAGCACUUUAAGCGAGGAGGAGGCUACUUUAGUUAAUACCUAGAGAUAGUGGACGUUACUCGCAGAAUAAGCACCGGCUAACUCUGUGCCAGCAGCCGCGGUAAUACAGAGGGUGCGAGCGUUAAUCGGAUUUACUGGGCGUAAAGCGUGCGUAGGCGGCUUAUUAAGUCGGAUGUGAAAUCCCCGAGCUUAACUUGGGAAUUGCAUUCGAUACUGGUGAGCUAGAGUAUGGGAGAGGAUGGUAGAAUUCCAGGUGUAGCGGUGAAAUGCGUAGAGAUCUGGAGGAAUACCGAUGGCGAAGGCAGCCAUCUGGCCUAAUACUGACGCUGAGGUACGAAAGCAUGGGGAGCAAACAGGAUUAGAUACCCUGGUAGUCCAUGCCGUAAACGAUGUCUACUAGCCGUUGGGGCCUUUGAGGCUUUAGUGGCGCAGCUAACGCGAUAAGUAGACCGCCUGGGGAGUACGGUCGCAAGACUAAAACUCAAAUGAAUUGACGGGGGCCCGCACAAGCGGUGGAGCAUGUGGUUUAAUUCGAUGCAACGCGAAGAACCUUACCUGGCCUUGACAUACUAGAAACUUUCCAGAGAUGGAUUGGUGCCUUCGGGAAUCUAGAUACAGGUGCUGCAUGGCUGUCGUCAGCUCGUGUCGUGAGAUGUUGGGUUAAGUCCCGCAACGAGCGCAACCCUUUUCCUUACUUGCCAGCAUUUCGGAUGGGAACUUUAAGGAUACUGCCAGUGACAAACUGGAGGAAGGCGGGGACGACGUCAAGUCAUCAUGGCCCUUACGGCCAGGGCUACACACGUGCUACAAUGGUCGGUACAAAGGGUUGCUACACAGCGAUGUGAUGCUAAUCUCAAAAAGCCGAUCGUAGUCCGGAUUGGAGUCUGCAACUCGACUCCAUGAAGUCGGAAUCGCUAGUAAUCGCGGAUCAGAAUGCCGCGGUGAAUACGUUCCCGGGCCUUGUACACACCGCCCGUCACACCAUGGGAGUUUGUUGCACCAGAAGUAGCUAGCCUAACUGCAAAGAGGGCGGUUACCACGGUGUGGCCGAUGACUGGGGUGAAGUCGUAACAAGGUAGCCGUAGGGGAACCUGCGGCUGGAUCACCU
rnacentral:rRNA from 1 species